ACUCCUACGGGAGGCAGCAGUGAGGAAUAUUGGUCAAUGGGCGAGAGCCUGAACCAGCCAAGUCGCGUGAAGGAUGACUGCCCUAUGGGUUGUAAACUUCUUUUACAGGGGAAUAAAAUGAGAUACGUGUAUUUUAUUGCAUGUACCUUGUGAAUAAGCAUCGGCUAACUCCGUGCCAGCAGCCGCGGUAAUACGGAGGAUGCGAGCGUUAUCCGGAUUUAUUGGGUUUAAAGGGUGCGUAGGUGGGCUGUUAAGUCCGCGGUGAAAGUUUGUCGCUUAACGAUAAAAUUGCCGUUGAAACUGGUAGUCUUGAGUAUAGAUGAAGUAGGCGGAAUGCGUGGUGUAGCGGUGAAAUGCAUAGAGAUCACGCAGAACUCCGAUUGCGAAGGCAGCUUACUAAGGUAUAACUGACACUGAAGCACGAAAGCGUGGGUAUCAAACAGGAUUAGAUACCCUUGUAGUCC
rnacentral:rRNA from 1 species